UACGUAGGGACCGAGCGUUUGUCCGGAAUCAUUGGGCGUAAAGAGCGUGUAGGCGGCCCCUUAAGUCCUGCGUGAAAUCCUGCGGCUCAACCGCAGACGGUCGUGGGAAACUGGAGGGCUAGAGUGCGGGAGAGGAGAGUGGAAUUCCCGGUGUAGCGGUGAAAUGCGCAGAUAUCGGGAAGAACACCCGUGGCGAAGGCGGCUCCCUGGAACGCAACUGACGCUGAGACGCGAAAGCGUGGGGAGCAA
rnacentral:rRNA from 1 species